UACAGAGGUCCCGAGCGUUGUUCGGAUUCACUGGGCGUAAAGGGUGCGUAGGUGGCGGGGUAAGUCUGAUGUGAAAGCUUCGAGCUCAACUCGAAAAUGGCAUUGGAUACUAUUCUGCUAGAGGGUUGGAGGGGGGACUGGAAUUCUCGGUGUAGCAGUGAAAUGCGUAGAUAUCGAGAGGAACACCGGUGGCGAAGGCGAGUCCCUGGACAACACCUGACACUGAGGCACGAAAGCUAGGGGAGCAAACAGG
rnacentral:rRNA from 1 species